rnacentral:lncRNA from 1 species
CUGAAUGAGGUCAGCCAUUUCAGUACCGGUGGUAUCAUAUCUUUGUGCAAUUGACAUGACAAGACGAACAUUACUCAUUGCAAGCUUUUCUCUAGCCAAGGAACACUCUAUUAAUGUAGAUCGUAAAUCAGCACGAGAUAUUUUCAAGGAAACCGCGAGUUGAUCGUCAGAAGGUUCACAUCCCAAUCUUUCCUUCAGCCUAAAAUUUUCCAUGUAUUAAACAAGAUGGGUAAGUCAUCUCUAGAACCUGGCUCAUCGCAAGCUUUUCUCUAGCCAAGGAACACUCUAUUAAUGUAGAUUGUAAAUCAGCACGAGAUAUUUUCAAGGAAACCACGAGUUGAUCAUCAGAAGGUUCACAUCCCAAUCUUUCCUUCAGCCUAAAAUUUUCCAUGUAUUAAACAAGCUGGGUAAGUCAUCUCUAGAACAUGUUGAUGGAAGUCAUUGGAUAAAAAAAAACCAGAAGAAACUUUCAAAUUGCAGCUGAAAUUUCCAGUCCAACACACCACCUCCAAUUUUAUUAACAUUUUCCCUUUGAGAAUGUAAGCUGUCAUUAAGGUUGAAACCACAGCCUUCAAGAAAGCACAGCUACAUUUUGACCAUUAUAGAGGGAGACAUGCUAAGGGGUAAGGAAUUCUCUAGAAUAUCUAAACACAGAGGUACCAUUUCUUCUCCAGCAUUCCGCCUCCAAUUUUUUUAUUUACCUCUUACUCCAUUUUUUAUUAGAUAAGGAAGCUAGUAAACACUGGCAACAUAACACCGGCUUAAAUGUGGUUCAAUCUGACAACAUUCUCAAGGGCAUAAAAACUUUUUAUAUUGAGUUUCAAGCUUUACAAUAACAUUUGUAGCAAUUUGACCUCCAAAAUUGUGAAAGAGGUGUAUUUAGGAAAACGUACAAAGCAUAGUUGGAGAAUCUCGGGAACAAAAUGUUUGGCGGGUAUUUGAGAAGAAGGAUUAACCUGUGUGUUUCUCGCGGGUAAAGCAUAAGAGGGUAAUUCAUACAGUUCUCUUUCAUAGUUCAUUUCACUCUUUCUACAAAUUUCAUUAGUUCUUUAUAGCCAUUUUCACUACUAAAGUCUCAUACGAUGUUUGAGAAAGUAGGGUGGUAGAGUUGGAUCG